GGGGAUUUAGCUUAGUGGCAUAAGCGCCUGCCUGGCAAGCGCAAGGUUGUGAGUUCAAUCCCCA
rnacentral:tRNA from 1 species